AACCAAUGCGAAAAGAAUGGUAACAGUGAAAAUCAAGGAAGAAACAAGAAAAGGAAAGAAAACCAAUUAAAAGAAAGAAAAAACCUAAGAAAACGAAGGAAAAUGAAGAAGGAAAAGCAAAAAACAUAACCACUGAAAAAUCGGGAAAGAAACAAAGAAGAACAAAGAAAAUAGAAAGAAAAGUAAACCAGUUAAUAGAAUGAAAUAAAAAACUGAUGAAAUAACAAAAGAAAACAAAAAGGGAAAACCCAGAGCAGAGCGAAGAGUACAUUGAACAAUAGCGAAACAUCGAUAUGGACAAGCUGCGCUAAAGUGAUGGCCCAUAUGCGCUCUCUGUUGAGGCAGGACGGAUUCUUACUCGCUACAUGCAAUAGAUAGCAUCCAUGCUGAAUGUCAACUAGUUGCUCUCUGUAAACGCAGAAUCGGCGAAGCUCCCGAUUCUCCACGAGAGCUAUGCUUGCUUAAUGCGAGACGGUAGCUUCUCUCGCUGAAGGACUUCAUAUCUCCCGUAGUAACUGGGCCAACCCAUUUAUCCUUUUUUCUCAUGGCUGCCACGCGAAGUUAGCUCAUGAACGGUCGGUCGCUUCCCUGGUUCGACUCUAUUUCUCUUUUCUCUUUUUUUUGUUUUUCCUUUAUUUUUCAUCUCUUUUCCCUUGUUUUUAUGUUUUCAUCUUCUUUAUUGUUUUUUUGCUUUUCUUUAUUUCGUUCUUAGUUUCCUUCUUGUAUUCUUUGUAUCUAUCUUGGUUUUCUUGGUUUCGUUCUUUUUGCAUUGGUUUCUUUGNNNNNNNNNNCCAAUGCGAAAAGAAUGGUAACAGUGAAAAUCAAGGAAGAAACAAGAAAAGGAAAGAAACCCAAUUAAAAGAAAGAAAAAACCUAAGAAAACGAAGGAAAAUGAAGAAGGAAAAGCAAAAAACAUAACCACUGAAAAAUCGGAAAAGAAACAAAGAAGAACAAAGAAAAUAGAAAGAAAAGUAAACCAGUUAAUAGAAUGAAAUAAAAAACUGAUGAAAUAACAAAAGAAAACAAAAAGGGAAAACCCAGAGC
rnacentral:lncRNA from 1 species